GCUCCAGUAGCCCAACUGGCAGAGGCGACGGUUUUAGGUGCCGUGCGAUGGGGGUUCGAAUCCCUCCUGGAGUA
rnacentral:tRNA from 1 species